UUGAAAGGGAAACGAUUGAAGUCAGUCAUACUGACGGGGAAUCAACCUUUUGAGCGUGUAUUCGUGGGUUUCGAAGAGCCUUCGUGUUCGCGACAUUUGCGUUUUUUUUGGUGCACUUCCUCGUGUUGUAGGUUAGCAUCGGUUUUGAUCGUUAUAAAAUGAUUGAAGGAAUGUAGCUUCGAUUUCGAUUGAAGUGUUAUAACCUUUGGUAGAUGUAACGGUUAGGAUCGAGGAUUGCAACGGAUGCCCUAGCGGGCUAUCCGUCUGACCUCUGAUACGUCGUUUUGGCGUCGAAAGCUUGCUUACGAUGUUAAAACGUGCGGUCAAAAGGCUAGAACGGAUUAAAUUCGUUAAGGAUGUUGACGUA
rnacentral:rRNA from 1 species